rnacentral:tRNA from 1 species
GCCUCGAUAGCUCAGUUGGGAGUGCGUCAGACUGAAGAUCUAAAGGUCACCGAUCCUGGUUCGGGGCA